rnacentral:rRNA from 1 species
CGUAGGCGGACGGGUGAGUAACGCGUGGGUAACCUGCCUCAUACAGGGGGAUAACGGUUAGAAAUGACUGCUAAUACCGCAUAAGCGCACAGUACCGCAUGGUACGGUGUGAAAAACUCCGGUGGUAUGAGAUGGACCCGCGUCUGAUUAGCUAGUUGGUGGGGUAACGGCCCACCAAGGCGACGAUCAGUAGCCGACUGAGAGGGUGACCGGCCACAUUGGGACUGAGACACGGCCCAG